GCCGCCGUGCGCGCGAUGCGGCUGAACCGGCGCACUCGUAAUGCGUAGGUCUCGGGUUCGAAUCCCGAAGGCGGCU
rnacentral:tRNA from 1 species